AAAUAGGGAAAUAUUAGUUUCGACCUAAUGAAAGGCAUUUAAGCCCUUAUUUA
rnacentral:tRNA from 1 species